CCCUUAGAUGUUCUGGGCUGCACGCGCGCUACACUGGUCUUCGCAAACGGAUGCAUUCUCGAAGGAGAAUGCCAAUCUUGGAAUCUAUGCCUUGGUCGGGACAGUUGCUUGCAAUUUUUCGACUCGAACCAGGAAUUCCUUGUAAUCGUGAUUCAUCACAUCACGAUGAAUACGUCCCUGCCCUUUGUACACACCGCCCGUCGCUCCUACCGAUCGAAGAGUUAGGUGAAUUGUUUUGAUCGAUAAGAUUUGACUAUGGUCAACUCUCGUUGUGAAAUUCUGUGAAUCUGACUGUUUAGAGGAAGGAAAAGUCGUAACA
rnacentral:rRNA from 1 species